AGUAUGGAAAAUGUAUGUCGCUCUGGAUAAGAGCGUCUGCAAAAUGACGUAAA
rfam:Salmo salar isolate Sally breed double haploid chromosome ssa06, whole genome shotgun sequence.